AUUUUUAUUGCCAGCCUGUAACACCUAGAAUCACCUUCGAAGAGGGAACUUCAACUGAAGAACUGAGAUUGACCGGCAGUCCUGUUUGGUGUAAACACAGCAGCAGGAAACAACUGUGUCCAUUAACACUGCCAAGAGGGUCUGGAAUCUCAUAGGCCAGCCUCCAGUCGCGCUUCUGAGGGAUUGUAUGAACUAACUGGCUGAUCAGAAUUUCAGACCGGUCAGGAAGUGGUGGCGCACACCUUUGAUCCCAGCAGUUGGGAGGCAGAAGCAGGUGGUUCACUGGAUGUAAUGUGACCCGAUGCUUCACGUGCCUGCUGCCUUGACUUUGAGUGGAAAAUGAGGACAUGGCUGCCCCUAGGUGCCAGUUGAUCAUGAGAAACCAAAACCACUGGAAGUGAAAUUGUGGCUAAGAAGGGACUGCUAUACAGCUCAGCCCCUGAGUCAGUGGAACUGUGUCUUACAGCUUCCCAUUCCUCCUGGCACUGCACGCUUGAGUUCUCGUUAGACCCCUGGCCUCCAUGUGCUACGUCCUCUACCAUCUUCUCAUUCUUUCCCAUACUCCCUUGAGUCCACGUCUCCAGCGUCCAGGCAAACUGAGCUGCUCACCGUUCAUGCUAGCACAAUGCCUGGAACGGGCCCCCUUUGUCCUGCGCAUGCUCAGACCACACUACCUGCCUGGCCCCCAUCUCUUCCUUCAGGCUUCUUGGCAGUCUCAUUCUCAGCUCUUACAUCAGUAGGACAGUGAUCGCGAGGCAGAUCUGAGAUGAGACAAAGAGACUGACAACAUCGGAUUGACAACCUCAAUACAGACCUGCCAGACGUAAGAAUUAAUGUAUGCCAGAGGAGGCACCGCGGACCGGGGAAGAGAAGGCUUGCCAAUAAAUGGCAUAGCAACAAUUGAUGAGCUCCUUGGAAAAAAAUCAAUUUAGAUAAUUAUCUCAGCCUCCUCCAAAAUUAAUUCCAGAUUUAUUGAUGAGCCUGAACCCCAAAGGACCCCCAUUUUGAAGAAAUAUGCGUAACGAGGUACAAGAAAACAGUGAGGAGCUGGAAGUAGGGAGAAGAAUCGACUCAAUGGACGGACGGAGUGCUGGACAAAGAGACAAAACGCUGGCCCUGGAAAAGGCGUGUGUGGGUAAGGUUUUCCUUAGGAGCUCCCUAGGUGACCGUCCUCAGCUCCCGUCAGGUAAUCCAGCCUCCAAAUGGAUCACUACCAAGGCGUUAGACAUUUGAGUAUCCAGGAGCCAGGUUCGUCCCUGCAGUAGGUUAGGCUGCCUGUCCCCUGGAAUCUUUGGUCCCUCCCAAUCUUGCCCCUUAUGGUUGGUGAUUACUGUCUAAACACAGUGAUAAUUUAUGUUAAUAUAAUCCAUUUUAAAGUGUGAUGGAGUGGAGGGAGGCCUUGGUUCAGCACUCUAAUCAGGAGGAAUCCACGCUCUGGGGUGAUUACGAGCAUCUGAAGUGCCCUAAUCAAGAAUACACUCCAGAAACAUAAUUUGAAUAUUGCUUUUGAAAUCUAGCAACUGAUUCAUUAACUAAGCAAGGAAUGACUGGGGAGGGGAGGGGAAAUGGAGGCUGGAACCUGGCCGGCUGGAAAGGCCGCCUGUGGGAACAGCCAGCUCAGCCUUUGGAAAUGCACGUGGCUUCUAGACAUUCGCUUGACCCUGUCUUUUCCCAUUUCCUAGAGCCGUCAGUGGCCUGACCCUGAGUCAGAAUACUGUCCCCUUGGGGAGUGCUCCUCAGACUGUUGGAAUGCCUGAGAUAGGGGUCCUUCCCUGAAUUCCAAAGAGUUGAUUGUACCAUGUUCAAAACUCUUUGUUAGCAAACUGUGGCACAUUUGAUAGAAUAUGCGGUCUUGGCCUCCCUUCUGAGAGCUGGUAGCAAGGCUGUGGAGGAAGAAUGUGUGUAGAUGCCACUGGCUCUCAUGCCAGAGGCCGCCAUCAGUCACAACGACAAAACAAGCAAAAAAUUGCAUUGCUAAGCCCACUGCAUUACUUGCUGGCAUGGAGGAGGGGGCAGCACGUAGCCCCUUUAGUCUAAGAGCACAUUGCCACAGGUCCAAGAGCUUUUCCUAUCUAUGUGCGUGGAGCAGAGG